rnacentral:lncRNA from 1 species
GAUCUCACCCAUGCUACUGAAGUCGAUUGUCUAUAUCAGGAGAUCGCAGAGCUCAGGCAGGAGAUAGCCGUGCUCCGUGGAUCCACUCAGGCAGACGACACCCCUAAUACCUGAUCUCACCAUUUCAUUUUAUUUCUCUUUUAUAUAUUUAUCGUAUUUGCAUUAUCUAUUUUAUAUUAUCGUGUUUAGAAUAUUAUAUAAACCACUACUAUACACUAGUAUUUCUAUUUUUAUCUAUAUAUGUUUUAUAUUUAUUUUAUUUGCAUUUUAAUUUUUCAGUUAUUUAUUUAUUUAUAUUUAAUUUCUGUUUUUG